rnacentral:rRNA from 1 species
UACGUAGGGCGCAAGCGUUGUCCGGAAUUAUUGGGCGUAAAGAGCUCGUAGGCGGUCUGUCGCGUCUGGUGUGAAAUCCCGAGGCUCAACCUCGGGCUUGCAUCGGGUACGGGCAGACUAGAGUGCGGUAGGGGAGACUGGAAUUCCUGGUGUAGCGGUGGAAUGCGCAGAUAUCAGGAGGAACACCGAUGGCGAAGGCAGGUCUCUGGGCCGCAACUGACGCUGAGGAGCGAAAGCAUGGGGAGCAAACAGG